GCCGGGCUUGGUAACAUGAGCCUGUGACUCGAGUGAGGGCUUUAAAGUGGGCUGGACUAUGGUUUCCUGCUAAUGAACUCCCUCUUUU
rnacentral:SRP_RNA from 11 species